GACUGAACAAGCCAUGUGUGAAUCCAGCAAUUAUUGUCAUCCAAGUUGAAGGCUGUCACCUAGCUACCGCAAACAAACAAAGAAUAACAACUAUGUCUGUACUUCAUACAUAACAAAUAAACCACCAACUUAGAAUGUGCAACAGCCAUUUCUGUCUGAAUACUUCUCCAUGAAUUGACCACUUAAAGUAAACGGUUAUACAGUUCAGAUUUGGUGGGAAAUGCUUUGCUCUUUGAACUCUCUUUAAAACAAAUUGAGCAGUAAUGGGAAAACUGCUGGGAGAACGAAGGAAUAGUUUAACAUGUUGGAAAAGUUAUUCGCUUUCUUGCUGAGAGUUAGAUGAGAAGAUUGAUGCCACUCGUCUUUAAACAAAAAGCUGGACAGGCCCUCUCCAAAGAAUACAAAAUUAAAACUCUGGAGAACACACCGCUCAACAGAACUUGGAAGGAGAGAGCUAAGUUUUAACUGGCCAUGUGGAGUGAGUCGCAGAGGCUUCAACAGUGAACAACUACAGGUUCUACCCAUCUGGACCCUGGACUCCUGCCUCUGUCCUUUUUGCCGUCAACUUACCUUUCCCUGGAUGUCUGGACCCCCUCUGCCUGAUUUGUCUGCCUGCUUCCCUGCCUUGCUCAGCUCACUCCUCUGGCUCAUGUCUCAACCCCCGAAGCUCCCCUGAUCCAUAGGCUCCUCAUUCAUUCUUAAGUAAUGUGUAAAUAUAAAUCCUUCACUGCUCUA